GAUGAACGCUGGCGGCGUGCCUAAUACAUGCAAGUCGAGCGAAGCGGGGACGGGGGAGUAACACGUGGGGAACCUCCUAUAAGACUGGGAUAACUUCGGGAAACCGGAGCUAAACCGGAUACUUAGCGCUGGAUCCGCGCUGCAUUAGCUAGUUGGUAAGGUAACGGCUUACCAAGGCAACGAUGCAUAGCCGACCUGAGAGGGUGAUCGGCCACACUGGAACUGAGACACGGUCCAGACUCCUACGGGAGGCAGCAGUAGGGAAUAUUCCGCAAUGGGCGAAAGCCUGACGGAGCAACGCCGCGUGAGUGAAGAAGGUCUUCGGAUCGUAAAACUCUGUCAUUAGGGAAGCGGUACCUAAUCAGAAAGCCACGGCUAACUACGUGCCAGCAGCCGCGGUAAUUC
rnacentral:rRNA from 1 species